rnacentral:rRNA from 1 species
AUUGAACGCUGGCGGCAGGCCUAACACAUGCAAGUCGAGCGGAGCGGCGGACGGGUGAGUAAUGCCUAGGAAUCUGCCUGGUAGUGGGGGAUAACGUCCGGAAACGGGCGCUAAUACCGCAUACUAUCAGAUGAGCCUAGGUCGGUUUAACUCGUUGGUGGGGUAAAGGCCUACCAAGGCGACGAUCCGUAACUGGUCUGAGAGGAGGAUCAGUCACACUGUAAGUAGGACACGGUCCAGACUCCGACGGGGGGCAGCAGUGGGGAAUAUUGGACAAGGGGCGAAAGCCUUAUCCAGACCUGCCGCUUGUGUGAAGAAGGUCUUCGGAUUUGAAAGCACUUUAAGUUGGGAGGCGUUACCAACAGAAUAAGCACCGGCUAACUUCGUGCCAGCCGCCGCGGUAAUUC